GAUGAAGAACGCAGCGAAAUGCGAUACGUAGUGUGAAUUGCAGAAUUCAGUGAAUCAUCGAAUCUUUGAACGCACAUUGCACCUCCCGGUAUUCCGGGAGGUAUGCCUGUUCGAGCGUCAUUUGUACCCUCAAGCUCUGCUUGGUGUUGGGUGUUUGUUCCGCCUCUGUGUGUGAACUCGCCUCAAAACAAUUGGCAGCCGGCGUACUUGUUUCGGAGCGCAGCACAUUUUGCGAUCCAGAUCAACGUACAGCGGCAUCCAAGAAGCCUUAUUUAACGCUCUUGACCUCGGAUCAGGUAGGGAUACCCGCUGAACUUAAGCAUAUCAAUAAGCGGAGGA
rnacentral:misc_RNA from 1 species